AGAGGGGGCAAGCGUUGUUCGGAAUUACUGGGCGUAAAGGGCGCGUAGGCGGCCUGCUAAGUCGAACGUGAAAUCCCUGGGCUCAACCCAGGAACUGCGUCCGAUACUGGUUGGCUUGAAUCCGGGAGAGGGACGUGGAAUUCCAGGUGUAGCGGUGAAAUGCGUAGAUAUCUGGAGGAACACCGGUGGCGAAGGCGACGUCCUGGACCGGCAUUGACGCUGAGGCGCGAAAGCCAGGGGAGCAAACGGGAUUAGAUACCCCGGUAGUCCUGGCCCUAAACGAUGAAUGCUUGGUGUGGCGGGUAUCGAUCCCUGCCGUGCCGAAGCUAACGCAUUAAGCAUUCCGCCUGGGGAGUACGGUCGCAAGGCUG
rnacentral:rRNA from 1 species